ACGGGGUGCAGCAGGCGCGAAAACUGGCCAAUGCGCGAAAGCGUGAGCCGGCGACUCCGAGUGAUGGCCUAUCGGCCAUUCUUUUGCCAAGCGUUCAAAACUUGGCGAAUAACGAGAGGGCAAGACUGGUGCCAGCCGCCGCGGUAAAACCAGCUCUUGGAGUGGUGGGCAUGUUUAUUUGGCUUAAAGAGUGCGUAGCAGGACAGCGUAAGUCCUCAGUGAAAUGCCAGGUCUUAAGCUUGGCGCGUGCUGGGGAUACUGUGCGUCUAGGGAACAGGAGAGGUCCAGGGUACUCACUGGGUAGGGGUGAAAUCCGAUAAUCCAGUGAGGACCACCGGUGGCGAAGGCGCUGGACUGGAAUGUGUCCGACUGUGAGGCACGAAAGCUAGGGUAGCGAGCCGGAUUAGAUACCCGGGUAGUCCUAGCCGUAAACGAUGCGCGCUAAGUGUUGGGUGACGCUCGACGUUAUCCAGUGCCGAAGGGAAACCGUUAAGCGCGCCGCCUGGGAAGUACGUUCGCAAGGAUGAAACUUAAAGGAAUUGGCGGGGGCCUACUACAAGAAGUGGAGCCUGCGGUU
rnacentral:rRNA from 1 species